rnacentral:rRNA from 1 species
GACGAACGCUGGCGGCGUGCUUAACACAUGCAAGUCGAACGGAAAGGCCCUGCUUUUGUGGGGUGCUCGAGUGGCGAACGGGUGAGUAACACGUGAGUAACCUGCCCUUGACUUUGGGAUAACUUCAGGAAACUGGGGCUAAUACCGGAUAGGAGCUCCUGCUGCAUGGUGGGGGUUGGAAAGUUUCGGCGGUUGGGGAUGGACUCGCGGCUUAUCAGCUUGUUGGUGGGGUAGUGGCUUACCAAGGCUUUGACGGGUAGCCGGCCUGAGAGGGUGACCGGGGCAGUUGGUCCGAAGACAGCACCCAGAAGCGCACGGGGGGGCGCAGUGCGGGAUGUUGCGCGCAGGGCGGGCUGAUGACGCAGCAUCUCCGCGGGCGGGGUGGCGGCAGUGGGGUUGUAAAAGAACAGCGCCUGGGAGGAAGCGGGAGCGGCGGGACUUUGGAAAGAAGCAACGCCCAACUACGUC